GACGAACGCUGGCGGCGUGCCUAAUACAUGCAAGUAGAACGCUGAAGGAGGAGCUUGCUCUUCUGGAUGAGUUGCGAACGGGUGAGUAACGCGUAGGUAACCUGCCUGGUAGCGGGGGAUAACUAUUGGAAACGAUAGCUAAUACCGCAUAAGAGUAGAUGUUGCAUGACAUUUACUUAAAAGGUGCAAUUGCAUCACUACCAGAUGGACCUGCGUUGUAUUAGCUAGUUGGUGGGGUAACGGCUUACCAAGGCGACGAUACAUAGCCGACCUGAGAGGGUGAUCGGCCACACUGGGACUGAGACACGGCCCAGACUCCUACGGGAGGCAGCAGUAGGGAAUCUUCGGCAAUGGACGGAAGUCUGAACGAGCAACGCCGCGUGAGUGAAGAAGGUUUUCGGGUCGUAAAGCUCGGUUGUAAGAGAAGAACGAGUGUGAGAGUGGAAAGUUCACACUGUGACGGUAUCUUACCAGAAAGGGACGGCUAACUACGUG
rnacentral:rRNA from 1 species